rnacentral:rRNA from 1 species
UGGGGAAUUUUGGACAAUGGGCGAAAGCCUGAUCCAGCAAUGCCGCGUGCAGGAAGAAGGCCUUCGGGUUGUAAACUGCUUUUGUACGGAACGAAACGGUCCGCUUUAAUACAGUGGGCUAAUGACGGUACCGUAAGAAUAAGCACCGGCUAACUACGUGCCAGCAGCCGCGGUAAUACGUAGGGUGCGAGCGUUAAUCGGAAUUACUGGGCGUAAAGCGUGCGCAGGCGGUUUUGUAAGACAGAGGUGAAAUCCCCGGGCUCAACCUGGGAAUUGCCUUUGCGACUGCAAGGCCUGAGUGCGGCAGAGGGGGAUGGAAUUCCGCGCGUAGCAGUGAAAUGCGUAGAUAUGCGGAGGAACACCGAUGGCGAAGGCAAUCCCCUGGGCCUGCACUGACGCUCAUGCACGAAAGCGUGGGGAGCAAACA